GACGAACGCUGGCGGCGUGCUUAACACAUGCCAGUCCAACGGAAAGGCUCCAGCUUGCUGGCGUACUCGAGUGGCGAACGGGUGAGUAACACGUGGGUAAUCUGCCCUGCACUCUGGGAUAAGCCUGGGAAACUGGGUCUAAUACUGGAUAUGACCUUUCUCCUUAUGGGGUUUGGUGGAAAGUUUUUCGGUGUAGGAUGAGCCCGCGGCCUAUCAGCUUGUUGGUGGGGUGAUGGCCUACCAAGGCGACGACGGGUAGCCGGCCUGAGAGGGUGAUCGGCCACAUUGGGACUGAGAUACGGCCCAGACUCCUACGGGAGGCAGCAGUGGGGAAUAUUGCACAAUGGGCGGAAGCCUGAUGCAGCGACGCCGCGUGAGGGAUGACGGCCUUCGGGUUGUAAACCUCUUUCAGCAGGGACGAAGCGUAAGUGACGGUACCUGCAGAAGAAGCACCGGCUAACUAUGUG
rnacentral:rRNA from 1 species